rnacentral:rRNA from 1 species
GACGAACGCUGGCGGCGUGCUUAACACAUGCAGGUCGAACGGUGAAGCGAGUGCUUGCACUCGUGGAUCAGUGGCGAAAGGGUGAGUAACAAGUGAGUAACCUGCCCAUCACUCUGGGAUAAGCACUGGAAACGGUGUCUAAUACUGGAUACGACCAACCCUUGCAUGGGGUGUUGGGGGAAAGAUUUAUCGGUGAUGGAUGGACUCGCGGCCUAUCAGCUUGUUGGCGGGGUAAUGGCCCACCAAGGCGACGACGGGUAGCCGGCCUGAGAGGGUGACCGGCCACACUGGGACUGAGACACGGCCCAGACUCCUACGGGAGGCAGCAGUGGGGAAUAUUGCACAAUGGGCGAAAGCCUGAUGCAGCGACGCCGCGUGAGGGAUGACGGCCUUCGGGUUGUAAACCUCUUUCAGCAGGGAAGAAGCGAAAGUGACGGUACCUGCAGAAGAAGCACCGGCUAACUACGUG